rnacentral:lncRNA from 10 species
GUUAGGUUCCAUCCCACCUUCAUCAACACUAGGAACCCUAGGAAAAAUUUUGCCUUCAGGAACAGAUGGAUCCAGGUGCAUAAAUGGCCUUUCAGCAAUCUGCUCUUCAUCAACACUAGGAACUCCCCAGAGAAGGAUGCUGGCGCCAUAUGUUGAGAUGGUUUGUUCCUUUGUUCCCUAGAGGGAAGGUGGCACAGUUUUUCACUAACUGCGACAGGUUCUGAUCAUUCUGGGGGCUUCCCUUGCAUAUUUCCUCCACCCUGCCAUGUCCCUAGAUCGUGGUAUAGUUAGAGAGUGGUCCAAAAGGGAUGCCAUUUCAUCUGGGACCUUCACCAAGAACAGCUCUCUCCAAGCUUCUUAAACUGAUUCAUCCUUCCUUAUACUGGAGCCUGAGCUGGGCGCGGUGGCUCACACCUGUAAUCCCAGCACUUUGGGAGGC